rnacentral:lncRNA from 1 species
GUGACUCUCAGAUAUUGAUUACUUCUCCCUUCUCAACCAGAAAAUUGAACCCAACAUAACUGAGACAAAAAAACUCAUAAGAAAAAAACGAAUCGACGAAGAAAAUGCGAACAAAUCAAAGAAGAAAAAUCAAAAGGAAGUAUAUACGAACCCAUAGUUAGAAAUAACUAAUAAGAAAAGAAACUUUAAACCAGUAAGAAGCAAAGAUGAACUUUGAGAUGAAAGAGAACAAAUUGACAAACCUAGAAAUUUCUUGACUGACCUGCAAUUUUUGUAAAUACCGGUCGAAUUAAAAAUUCACAAUAACAUUAACAAUACAAUCUUUAGUUAUUACAAAUUUACAAUAUAAAUUUAAUCAGCGUACUCACCUUGUUACAGUGGCAAUUUCCGUUUCAAGCAUAUUGAGAAUCACGAGAUUUAGGGUUUGACGGAGAUGGAGGUGUUGGACUGAAACGAAGGACCUAGGGUUCACGGAGAUUGAGGUUGAACGAGAGUAUAACGAUUUAGGGUUCUCAACCCAAAACAAAACCUGAAAACUCUAGAAAACUACACACACUAAACCAAUUAACAGAACAAGACCCUUCACACACUAAAAAAUUGAAACUCUUGAAAAUUAAUCUUCACUAUACCAAAUGGCUAGAUAAGAUACUGACAGUUGAUAGUACUAAAAUCCAUAAGUUCUUCACUACUAAAAUCCAUAGUUGGAUAGAUAAGAUACAUAACUUAUAAUUAUUAAUAUGGAUCUCAAUCACUCCAAUCAUAAAUUUAAGCAAAAUGGCUAAUGAGUCAAAUUUAAUGAGUCACUUUUUGAGUGUUCUGCAUCACAAUUCAAAUUUAGGCAACAAAACCACACCUAAGAAAGAAUGAACUGAUGAACUAAAAAUAAGUCAAAUUUAAGGAGUCACUUUAAGUGUUCUGUCAUACUACUUUGGUGUAAGAAGUGGAAUAAGCUUCUAUAACAAUUGAAAAUUAGAGUAGAUAUGGAACAAUGAACUACACAUAAGUGCAAUUGAAAAUCACAAAUUUAAUAUCUUCCACUAAAAAUCACAAUUGUAAACACACCACUACAGUUGAAAAAGUAACAGGUGAUUACCCAACACCCAAAAACAACUGUCUUCUAAAUUAAAUCAAUUUUGCAAAUUCAAUUGUAAGCAUACCUCAAUGACGGCAGUUUGAGUUGUGAAAGCACGGCGACGAACGAGUACGACUACUGACGGUUAAAUUCGUGGAUUAUUGGAUUAAGGUUCUUGGAGAGAAGAUAUUUUUGGGUUAUGGGUUAGGGUUCACAGUGGUUUAUGGAUUCUUGGAUAUUAAGAUUGACGAGUGUGAUUGGAGAAGACAAGUUGAACGAUUUCUCUUAGUUCCGAUUUCUCUAACUUCAAUUUCUCUGGGAAUCAACCUCUCUGAGUUCCGAUUGCUCUGAGUUUGAUUACAGAGGAACGAGAUUCCUUUGGGUUUGAAGCUACAAGACGAUCAAUUUCGAAUCUAGGGUUUGAGCUCAAUGUUUGCUGGGAAUGGUUUGAAGAAGCUAGAAAAACAUUGAUUUCUUUUCUAGGGUUUGAAUUC